rnacentral:ncRNA from 2 species
UUACCAUAAAGAGUGCGAGAGGGACAAGCCCUGCGACCGCACAGCAACCUGCAUUUUGCAAGGUGCUAAGGCUUGAACGAUGGGAA